UUCCUUCUUUGCUUUUCUGCUUGCUAGAUUAGUGAUUGAUCAUUUAUUCUGCAAUUGUUUUAGCGAACAAAUCAUCUCUUUCAUCAUUAGUUUUAUCAGGACCUCGUGAUCCAAUUCUAGGACUCCACAGACUAUGCAUUUUGUUUCCUUGUUUGAGAUUUAUUGGAACACCUAUGUAUAACUGAAGCUUCCAUUAUUAAGAUAUAAUGCCUCUGUAUUACCACAUAAUACUUUGAUAUGGAAAUAUUUGCCUAGCAUCAGGUUUUACCACAUAAUGGUUGCAGCUGCUCCUAUAUUAUACCACUGGAUUCAUAAAAUGGAAUGUAGGGAGUAUUCUAUUUGCUUAAAAGUUGACCUUCUUACUUGCAGGCUUGUAGUACCUUCAGUUGAGCUUUGUGACUUAAUUGGAUGAUUUAGAACUGUACUCUAAACCAUAAGUCUUUGACUUUAAGAUGCUCACUGUAAAGAGAAUCUCUCUCUGUGAAGUAGUUGCCUACUUGACUGGCCUACCAGUUCUGCAAUAUUCGUUGGACAUUAGGAAGGAGCAUGUUAAUUUGGUUGAUGCACAAUUACAGAAGUUGGUAUACAGUGGCCGGCUUAGCUGAUCAAGAGGAAUUGGACAGAUUUGCAAAGCUGCAUUGACAAGGCAUUUGACUGCAUUUAUAUACUCUACUUUCAAUUUUAUUUCAUGGGUGUUGGGCGUUGGCAGCUUGCUAGCUGCUGGGUGACACGGCCGCGGCAGCAGUUCAGUGUUCCUCUCAUAUUCAGUUAGGAUGAGAAGAGGAUGGGGCUUUCCCGUUUAAAAAGAAGUUAAAUAUGUGAUUAUGCAUAAAAGGAAGUCCCCGGUCUAUUUUUGUUGUGGUAUCUCGGCUUAAUGAUUCUUUCAAGGGAAGACAAGAUGGAAAAGAAGCAUCACGAACUAACCCUGGAGAAUUGAUUGUACCUCACUAGCGUCGCCAGUCUCCUAAGCGAAGGUUGGUGUAAGAACCUUCACCUCCUUCUGUUUCAUGGGAGCCG